UAUCCUGUCUGAAUAUGGGGGGACCAUCCUCCAAGGCUAAAUACUCCUGACUGACCGAUAGUGAACCAGUACCGUGAGGGAAAGGCGAAAAGAACCCCGGCGAGGGGAGUGAAAAAGAACCUGAAACCGUGUACGUACAAGCAGUGGGAGCACCUUCGGGUGUGACUGCGUACCUUUUGUAUAAUGGGUCAGCGACUUAUAUUCUGUAGCAAGGUUAACCGUAUAGGGGAGCCGCAGGGAAACCGAGUCUUAACUGGGCGUUAAGUUGCAGGGUAUAGACCCGAAACCCGGUGAUCUAGCCAUGGGCAGGUUGAAGGUUGGGUAACACUAACUGGAGGACCGAACCGACUAAUGUUGAAAAAUUAGCGGAUGACUUGUGGCUGGGGGUGAAAGGCCAAUCAAACCGGGAGAUAGCUGGUUCUCCCCGAAAGCUAUUUAGGUAGCGCCUCGUGAACUCAUCUUCGGGGGUAGAGCACUGUUUCGGCUAGGGGGUCAUCCCGACUUACCAACCCGAUGCAAACUACGAAUACCGAAGAAUGUUAUCACGGGAGACACACGGCGGGUGCUAACGUCCGUCGUGAAGAGGGAAACAACCCAGACCGCCAGCUAAGGUCCCAAAGUCAUGGUUAAGUGGGAAACGAUGUGGGAAGGCACAGACAGCCAGGAUGUUGGCUUAGAAGCAGCCAUCAUUUAAAGAAAGCGUAAUAGCUCACUGGUCGAGUCGGCCUGCGCGGAAGAUGUAACGGGGCUAAACCAUGCACCGAAGCUGCGGCAGCGACACUAUGUGUUGUUGGGUAGGGGAGCGUUCUGUAAGCCUGCGAAGGUGGCCUGUGAGGGUUGCUGGAGGUAUCAGAAGUGCGAAUGCUGACAUAAGUAACGAUAAAGCGGGUGAAAAGCCCGCUCGCCGGAAGACCAAGGGUUCCUGUCCAACGUUAAUCGGGGCAGGGUGAGUCGACCCCUAAGGCGAGGCCGAAAGGCGUAGUCGAUGGGAAACAGGUUAAUAUUCCUGUACUUGGUGUUACUGCGAAGGGGGGACGGAGAAGGCUAUGUUAGCCGGGCGACGGUUGUCCCGGUUUAAGCAUGUAGGCUGGUUAUCCAGGCAAAUCCGGAUAAUCAAGGCUGAGGUGUGAUGACGAGGCACUACGGUGCUGAAGUAACAAAUGCCCUGCUUCCAGGAAAAGCCUCUAAGCAUCAGGUAACAUCAAAUCGUACCCCAAACCGACACAGGUGGUCAGGUAGAGAAUACCAAGGCGCUUGAGAGAACUCGGGUGAAGGAACUAGGCAAAAUGGUGCCGUAACUUCGGGAGAAGGCACGCUGGUGUGUAGGUGAAGCCCCUGCGGGUGGAGCUGAGACCAGUCGAAGAUACCAGCUGGCUGCAACUGUUUAUUAAAAACACAGCACUGUGCAAACACGAAAGUGGACGUAUACGGUGUGACGCCUGCCCGGUGCCGGAAGGUUAAUUGAUGGGGUUAUCCGUAAGGAGAAGCUCUUGAUCGAAGCCCCGGUAAACGGCGGCCGUAACUAUAACGGUCCUAAGGUAGCGAAAUUCCUUGUCGGGUAAGUUCCGACCUGCACGAAUGGCGUAAUGAUGGCCAGGCUGUCUCCACCCGAGACUCAGUGAAAUUGAACUCGCUGUGAAGAUGCAGUGUACCCGCGGCAAGACGGAAAGACCCCGUGAACCUUUACUAUAGCUUGACACUGAACAUUGAGCCUUGAUGUGUAGGAUAGGUGGGAGGCUUUGAAGCGUGGACGCCAGUCUGCGUGGAGCCAACCUUGAAAUACCACCCUUUAAUGUUUGAUGUUCUAACGUUGGCCCCUUAUCGGGGUUGCGGACAGUGUCUGGUGGGUAGUUUGACUGGGGCGGUCUCCUCCCAAAGCGUAACGGAGGAGCACGAAGGUUAGCUAAUCCUGGUCGGACAUCAGGAGGUUAGUGCAAUGGCAUAAGCUAGCUUGACUGCGAGCGUGACGGCGCGAGCAGGUGCGAAAGCAGGUCAUAGUGAUCCGGUGGUUCUGAAUGGAAGGGCCAUCGCUCAACGGAUAAAAGGUACUCCGGGGAUAACAGGCUGAUACCGCCCAAGAGUUCAUAUCGACGGCGGUGUUUGGCACCUCGAUGUCGGCUCAUCACAUCCUGGGGCUGAAGUAGGUCCCAAGGGUAUGGCUGUUCGCCAUUUAAAGUGGUACGCGAGCUGGGUUUAGAACGUCGUGAGACAGUUCGGUCCCUAUCUGCCGUGGGCGCUGGAGAAUUGAGGGGGGCUGCUCCUAGUACGAGAGGACCGGAGUGGACGCAUCACUGGUGUUCGGGUUGUCAUGCCAAUGGCACUGCCCGGUAGCUAAAUGCGGAAGAGAUAAGUGCUGAAAGCAUCUAAGCACGAAACUUGCCCCGAGAUGAGUUCUCCCUGAGACUUUAAGUCUCCUGAAGGAACGUUGAAGACGACGACGUUGAUAGGCCGGGUGUGUAAGCGCAGCGAUGCGUUGAGCUAACCGGUACUAAUGAACCGUGAGGCUUAACCUU
rnacentral:rRNA from 1 species